rnacentral:rRNA from 1 species
UACGUAGGGGGCAAGCGUUGUCCGGAAUCAUUGGGCGUAAAGAGCGUGUAGGCGGCCCGGUAAGUCCGCUGUGAAAGUCGAGGGCUCAACCCUCGAAUGCCGGCGGAUACUGUCGGGCUAGAGUCCGGAAGAGGCGAGUGGAAUUCCCAGUGUAGCGGUGAAAUGCGUAGAUAUUGGGAAGAACACCUGAGGCGAAGGCGGGUUGCUGGGCCGACACUGACGCUGAGGCGCGAAAGCCAGGGGAGCAAACGGG